CCCGAUUUCAAGCAAGAAAAUGGGGCUGUCCUUGAUUUCCCCCACGUUUUCACCGAAACGCAUGCAACGCGCUCAAAUAUACUUCGGAGGGAACUUGGAAGACAAAGAGGCGCGAAACUCGUCCCUCGAAAAAAAAGCUCUCCAAAUUUAGAAACUUCUCGGCUCUCGCGAUCGCUGUUUCCUUCCUUCCGCUCAGCCUCCAUCACUCUCCAUCUUCCGGAUUCGCCAUCGCCGAACGCUUCCUUCCACCUCCUCUGUAGACGUCUCCUUCAGAUUGCGACGAUUCAAGCUAAUCAAUCACAGGAUUGCCAUCUCGGAUGUAAGCUUGAAGGAUGUCUAGAUUUGAAGCUAAACUGGCAGUCAGGUGUUGGCGGUGCACUUGACGCCAUUUCAUUUGUGAGAUACUGAUGAUCGGAAUCUUGGUACAUCAGGGAAUGCAUAUCAACUAUCAAGGUGAUCAUUCUUCUCACUUUAGGUAUGAAAUCUUGUCAAUUUCUUCKAAAUAAGGAGACAAACCCCAUUAGUUUGUAGACGAGAUCAUGUUACAGGGCUAGAAAAACCUCUCACUGAUUGGUGUGCAGAAGUCCAUCGCUUCUUUGAAGUCCUAAAUCUUAUUGGAUUUCUUAGGUACUAUAAAUUCCUAAAUAGCAAUUCCUUUAUAUUAAGAAACACUCAGAUUGAUAAAAUGAAAAGCGAAGAGCGCAGGAGGAUCUUCCCAAAACAGUAGAGUUACAAGUACUAGAGACAUCUGCAGAUAAAUGGAGGUAACUAAUAUGGCGAUUCCAAAAGUUUUUAUGGAGAGGACUCCAUCAGGAAGACACAGAAGUUACAAUGUUCCGAGUUAAUCUUAAAGAUCCUUCAAUCCCUUGAAAAAUCCUCUUAUAUCUCUUAUAAUAUCUCCCGAAAGAUUGCAUUCUAACAACAUUCAGCUAAAAAAUCUCAGGUUUCUUCUAGAUGAGAUGCUCAWAGAGAGGGGGGGAGAAACUUCAUGAUAGGUACCAGAAAUUGAAAGGAAAUUUAGUGGGGUGUGUGAAAAAUACGAAUGGUUGCUAAGAAACUUAGUUCUCUGAAAAGAAUAUACCCAGUAAAAUAUGGGCAAACUCCAAGCCCCAUCUCACUGUAUAUACCAUCCAACUCUAACUAACUCUUCUAGCCAAUUCAUUGAUUUUUACUAAUAUACUCCAAAUAAUAAUCUCACAUAACCACGCCCUUUGGAAUUGUGAGCAGGAAACUCAGAUCUCUGAAAAUCUGUCUAUCUUUAUGAAUCCGAAUGAAGUGGUCCAAGAUUUUUGCAUCCACUAGGCACAAUUUGGCAAGAUGAGCCUUUGAGUUCCCAAUUCCCUCAACCUCUUUUUAAGAUCAUUCAUCGAGAUGCAACAUAUGUCAAGUUGRUGAUCUUAAAAAUGAAUGCAUCAAUCCUUUCUAAGAACACUUCUAGGAACUUUGGUGGUCUUUCUCCAAGGUUCCUCAACAAGUUCAAAACAAUUGCAUCAUAGAAAGAGCAAGAUUAAGGUGGCUAUGAUUUUCUGUUAAAGGUUUCAAUCCCCUUCGUUAGUCGCUUCGUUUGCAUCAUAGUUAGUCGCUUCGUUUCUCCCAAAACUAAUACUGAAAAGUAUGCGAAAUCUCAAUCCCCUUCACUGGCACUUCUCUUUCAAACCUAUACUGAAAAUAUAUGUAAAUCCUAAGCCCUUAACUCCAUUUACAACCCAUUGGUUCUGCCAGACUCCUCUACUUCAUUCACUGUUCAUUACUGAUAUAUCCCUAACAUCCCUAGCAAAUCUUCUCCCAAAGGAUUGCUCUUACACAUGGAGCCACAAAGUUAUGAUUUGCAAAUGGGGACAUUCCAAGAGCAUUAACCAUUUCUCAUAUUUGCUGAAAGUUAUUUUGGCCCAUAAAGCUUCCUUCUCAAUGCGUUACACCGCCUCUUAAACAGAGCUCCUUGAUGAUCGUAGGUUUAUAUCUAACRACGAGACAUCAUCAGUCAACUUAUUGAUUUUUCCAUUUUGGAAGAGAAAAAAAUGGUCAAACCACUUCCUCUAUGACAGAGUAAGAGCCAUACCCCCAAGGGAUCAUAAAAAACAUUGAUAUUACCUCUCAAAAUCUGGCGAGCAGUCUCACCUCUAAGGUUUUCUAAUUCCAACGUACAUUCAUCUCAGAUACAUAGAAGCCAUCCAGCAAAGGGUUUUAGCAAGAUUAAAAAAAAACGCAUUAUAACAAAGACAGCAAUUUUCAACGAAUAAGAAUGCCGUAGAGGGACCAUUUGAAUCUACCUAGUCCAAACGAGAUGUCUAGAACCCUAAAGGUGACUAAGAGAGUAAAGGGUAUUGAAAUACUUAUGUUACUAACUUAUAGGAAUACAUUCACACAAGAAAGAGACGAAAAAAAACUUAUAGGAACACAUUGCUGCAUGUAAUUGUUAUAACAAAGGAUAUAAUGAUUUUUGUUUUUAUUUUUUUCAAAUUUAAAUGCUUUAU